rnacentral:rRNA from 1 species
GACAGAGGUGCCAAGCGUUAGGCGGAAUCACUGGGCUUAAAGCGUGUGUAGGCGGGUGCCUAAGUACCUUGUGAAAUCCCCGGGCUCAACCUGGGAAUUGCAUUGGAGACUGCAAGGCUAGAAUCUGGCAGAGGGGGGUAGAAUUCCACGUGUAGCAGUGAAAUGCGUAGAGAUGUGGAGGAACACCGAUGGCGAAGGCAGCCCCCUGGGUCAAGAUUGACGCUCAUGCACGAAAGCGUGGGGAGCAAACAGG